ensembl:lncRNA MIR99AHG mir-99a-let-7c cluster host gene
GGCAGCUUCUGCUAGUGUUUAGGUACUAGUGCAGUGUAGAACCCUUUUCUCAGGCAAAACCUAACAUCUGACCGCACCCUUUUUGCUAUUAAAAAAAAAAAAAAGCUUCUAUUUUUUUCCUCCUGUCGUUAAGAUAAAUUCUCCAGUAGACAACCUCUCCCACUAAUUGUGUAUUAGCAACGUAUUUUAUCUUGAGAGCUUGUACACUGGGCUCUCAACGUGGUGUGGAAGGUAGCCUGUUACAGUGCUGGAUUCAUAAAAGGGCCUUUAUGGUUUGUGAAAGAAUAUCUGUGUGCUUAGGGAGGAAACUUUUUGAUCUGCAGAAAAGCCAGAAGACAUCUAGGACAUCCAUAAAAAUUCAUCAGAGAGCAUUUUACUACUGAGCUGCAAAGGCUGGAGUGCAGUGGCACCGUCUCAGGUCACUUCAACCUCCGCCUCCUGGGCUCAAGCGAGUCUCCCGCCUCAGCCUCCUGAGUACCUGGAAUUGCAGGUGCCCAUCACCAUGCUCAGCUAAUUUUUGUAUUUUUAGUAGAGACGAGGUUUCACCAUGUAGGCCAGGCUGGUCUCGAACUCCCAACCUCAAGUGAUCUACCUGCCUCAGCCUCCCAAAGUACUGGGAUUACAGGUGUGAGCCACUAUGCCCUGCUUCUUAUAGCCUUUUUUAUUAAUCUAUUUUUUCCCAACUUCUUGGUCUAAAUAAAUCUGAAUUUUUCAACUAGUUUGCCUCAUGCAAUUUUCUCCUCUAUUGAUUCUCAAGGCAUGAAUCAUCAAAGCGGUCUUGUCAAAAGGAAACAUUAUUUUUUUACUAAAAUUAUGAAGAAAUUGAAGCAAAUGUGAUUUCAAAGACCUAACUUUAUCCAAUUUUCUACUUUUUUCCAAGCUCUACAUUUUCACAGUAAAACUUCUGUUUUAUCUUUUAACAACAUGAUAAAGAAAAACACAGAUGGAAGAACAUUGAGGGGGAAUUCCUAAAUGGGAGCAGUUAGCAGCUAUGAAAAUGUAGAUAUUCAAGAAGAAAAGAAAAAGUAAGCAAAACUGAAUCAUGAGACCAUAGAAGAGUCAAAAAAAUGUCAAUUUAUCUCAGCUUUCUGCAAACUACAACCCAUGGGCCAAAUUCAAGGUCUGUUUUUGUACAAUCUACACAUUAAGAAUGGUUUUUACAAUGAUACGUGUUAGAAAAAUGUUUAGAAAGUCAUAUUUUAUGAUGUGAAAAUUGAUAAAAUGUUGUUGUCCAUAAAUAAAGUUUUAUUGGAACACCA